GAUGAAAGACUUCCUGGAAGAAGAGUGUUUUCAAUAGAUUUUGGUGAGGAGAAAGCAGCUGUUUGAAGCCUCGUCCAAAGCCUGUUGAAGUCAAUAAAGAAAAAUCUGUAAUGAGAGCUGGAGAAGCAAAUCCCAUACUGAUGGCUGUUAUCCAGGAGAUAAACCAAGCGUUUUAAUCAAGGGACACACUCUAGGCAACCUUUCUGGGUCAUCUCUUAUCAGACAACCCUAAUCAUUGUGAUAGUUAAACUGUGCAGCCAUCACCAUGGUAUUUGAAUGCAUCAUGGACAGUGUUUGCUUAUUUGCAACAAUUACAGUUUCUCCAUCUAUAAAAUGGGAAUAACGAUAUUUACACAGACCUUUGCAAAACACUCUGAGAUCCACAGAUGAAAAGCUCUAUAUAAAUGGAUGCAUCCAGCAGUGAAGAAGGGACUCUGAUCGCCUUUGAAUUUUAAUGUUGCUGAGAAACGGGGAGAAUGAGAUGGGGGUUUAUACCUACAAUCUAAAAAGAAAAAAUGCAUCACAUUUCUUUGCAUUUUCCUGAGGAUUAGUGAAAAAUCUUAACAAAACUGUGAGUAUUAUUAUUGAAGUAUGCAGUGACAUGCAUUUAUGGCACACUUAUUGACAGAUAGUGUGCAUCGCUGACAUCACAUCAGGGCUGCUCACUCUUACAGAAGCAAUGUCAUUCAUUAUGAAAGAAAGACUU